AUUGAACGCUGGCGGCAUGCCUAACACAUGCAAGUCGAGCGGAUGAAGGGAGCUUGCUCCUGGAUUCAGCGGCGGACGGGUGAGUAAUGCCUAGGAAUCUGCCUGCUAGUGGGGGAUAACGUCCUGAAACGGGCGCUAAUACCGCAUACGUCCUGAGGUAGAAAGUGGGGGAUCUUCGGACCUCAUGCUAUCAGAUGAUCCUAGUUCGGAUUAGCUAGUUUGUGGGGUAAAGGCCUACCAAGGCGACGAUCCGUAACUGGUCUGAGAGGAUGAUCAGUCACACUGGAAAUGAGACACGGUCCAGAGUACUAAGGGAGGCACCAGUGGGGAAUAUUGGACAAUGGGCGAAAGAAUGAUACAGCCAGGCCGAGUGUGUGAAGAAGGUAUUCGGAUUGUAAAGCAAUUUAAGUUGGGAGGAAGGGCAGUAAGUUAAUACAUUGAUGUAUUGACGGUACCAACAGAAUAAGCACCGGCUAAAUACGUG
rnacentral:rRNA from 1 species